AGCAGUCGCCGCGGGAAUACGAAGGGGGCUAGCGUUGUUCGGAAUUACUGGGCGUAAAGCGCACGUAGGCGGAUAUUUAAGUCAGGGGUGAAAUCCCGCAGCUCAACUGCGGAACUGCCUUUGAUACUGGGUAUCUUGAGUAUGGAAGAGGUUAGUGGAAUUGCGAGUGUAGAGGUGAAAUUCGUAGAUAUUCGCAGGAACACCAGUGGCGAAGGCGGCUAACUGGUCCAUAACUGACGCUGAGGUGCGAAAGCGUGGGGAGCAAACAGGAUUAGAUACCCCAGUAGUCCCUGUCUCUUAUAC
rnacentral:rRNA from 1 species